rnacentral:rRNA from 1 species
AUUGAACGCUGGCGGCAGGCCUAACACAUGCUAAUCGAACCAGUGGCGGACGGGUGAGUAAUUUCUGGGCAAUUGCCUGAUGGAGGGGGAUAACUACUGGAACCGGUAGCUAAUACCGCAUACCAUCAGAUGUGCCCAGCUGGGAUUAGCUAGUUGGUGGGGUAACGGCUCACCAGGGCGACGAUCCCUAGCUGGUCGGAGAGGAUGACCAGCCAGAACGGAACUGAGAAACGGUCCAGACUCCUACGGGAGGCAGCAGUGUGGAAUAUGGCACAAUGGGCGCAAGCCUGAGGCAGCCAUGCCUCGUGUAUGAAGAAGGCCUUCGGGUUGUAAAGGACUUUCAGCGGGGAGGCGUUACCCGCAGAAGAAGCACCGGCUAACUCCGGGCCAGCCGCCGCGGUAAUAC